rnacentral:rRNA from 1 species
GCUAAGCAUACAAUAAGCGGAGGAAAAGAAACCAACAGGGAUUGCCUUAGUAACGGCGAGUGAAGCGGCAACAGCUCAAAUUUGAAAUCUGGCUCUUUCAGAGUCCGAGUUGUAAUUUGCAGAGGGCGCUUUGGCUUUGGCAGCGGUCCAAGUUCCUUGGAACAGGACGUCACAGAGGGUGAGAAUCCCGUACGUGGUCGCUAGCUAUUGCCGUGUAAAGCCCCUUCGACGAGUCGAGUUGUUUGGGAAUGCAGCUCUAAAUGGGAGGUAAAUUUCUUCUAAAGCUAAAUAUUGGCCAGAGACCGAUAGCGCACAAGUAGAGUGAUCGAAAGAUGAAAAGCACUUUGGAAAGAGAGUCAAACAGCACGUGAAAUUGUUGAAAGGGAAGCGCUUGCAGCCAGACUUGCUUGCAGUUGCUCAUCCGGGCUUUUGCCCGGUGCACUCUUCUGCAGGCAGGCCAGCAUCAGUUUGGGCGGUGGGAUAAAGGUCUCUGACACGUUCCUUCCUUCGGGUUGGCCAUAUAGGGGAGACGUCAUACCACCAGCCUGGACUGAGGUCCGCGCAUCUGCUAGGAUGCUGGCGUAAUGGCUGUAAGCGGCCCGUCUUGAAACACGGACCAAGGAGUCUAACAUCUAUGCGAGUGUUUGGGUGUCAAGCCCGAGCGCGUAAUGAAAGUGAACGGAGGUGGGAACCCGCAAGGGCGCACCAUCGACCGAUCCUGAAGUUUACGGAAGGAUUUGAGUAAGAGCAUGGCUGUUGGGACCCGAAAGAUGGUGAACUAUGCUUGAAUAGGGUGAAGCCAGAGGAAACUCUGGUGGAGGCUCGCAGCGGUUCUGACGUGCAAAUCGAUCGUCAAAUUUGGGCAUAGGGGCGAAAGACUAAUCGAGCA